ACGCUAGCUACAGGCUUAACACAUGCAAGUCGAGGGGAAACGGCAUUAAGUGCUUGUACUUUUUGGACGUCGACCGGCGCACGGGUGAGUAACGCGUAUCCAACCUUCCCAUGACUAAGGGAUAACCUGCCGAAAGGCAGACUAAUACCUUAUGGUCUUCACUGACGGCAUCAGAUGUGAAGUAAAGAUUUAUCGGUUAUGGAUGGGGAUGCGUCUGAUUAGCUUGUUGGCGGGGUAACGGCCCACCAAGGCGACGAUCAGUAGGGGUUCUGAGAGGAAGGUCCCCCACAUUGGAACUGAGACACGGCCCAAACUCCUACGGGAGGCAGCAGUGAGGAAUAUUGGUCAAUGGGCGAGAGCCUGAACCAGCCAAGUAGCGUGCAGGAUGACGGCCCUAUGGGUUGUAAACUGCUUUUGUAUGGGGAUAAAGUCAAUCACGUGUGAUUGUUUGCAGGUACCAUACGAAUAAGGACCGGCUAAUUCCGUGCCAGCAGCCGCGGUAAUACGGAAGGUCCGGGCGUUAUCCGGAUUUAUUGGGUUUAAAGGGAGCGUAGGCUGGAGAUUAAGUGUGUUGUGAAAUGUAGACGCUCAACGUCUGACUUGCAGCGCAUACUGGUUUCCUUGAGUACGCACAACGUUGGCGGAAUUCGUCGUGUAGCGGUGAAAUGCUUAGAUAUGACGAAGAACUCCGAUUGCGAAGGCAGCUGACGGGAGCGCAACUGACGCUGAAGCUCGAAGGUGCGGGUAUCGAACAGGAUUAGAUACCCUGGUAGUCCGCACAGUAAACGAUGGAUGCCCGCUGUUGGUACUUGGUAUCAGCGGCUAAGCGAAAGCAUUAAGCAUCCCACCUGGGGAGUACGCCGGCAACGGUGAAACUCAAAGGAAUUGACGGGGGCCCGCACAAGCGGAGG
rnacentral:rRNA from 1 species